UACGUAGGGUGCGAGCGUUGUCCGGAAUUAUUGGGCGUAAAGAGCUCGUAGGCGGUGUGUCACGUCGUUCGUGAAAACCUGCAGCUUAACUGUGGGCGUGCGGUCGAUACGGGCAUCACUGGAGUUCGGCAGGGGAGACUGGAAUUCCUGGUGUAGCGGUGAAAUGCGCAGAUAUCAAGUGGAACACCAGUGGCGAAGGCGAGUCCCUGGACGAUUCCUGACGCUGAGGCACGAAAGCUAGGGGAGCAAACAGG
rnacentral:rRNA from 1 species